rnacentral:rRNA from 1 species
AGCAGCCGCGGUAAUUCCAGCUCCAAUAGCGUAUAUUAAAGUUGUUGCAGUUAAAAAGCUCGUAGUUGAAUUUCGGGAUUGACGUGAUGGUCGUGCCUUAAGGGGUAUGAACUGUCGCUGUUGAUUUCUCACCUUCUGGAGAAACUUGAUGUCCUUAAUUGGGUGUCUUGCGGAUCCAGGACCUUUACCUUGAAAAAAUUAGAGUGUUUAAAGCAGGCAUUUUUGCUCGAAUACAUUAGCAUGGAAUAAUAGAAUAGGACGGCAUGGUUCUAUUUUGUUGGUUUCUAGGAUCACCGUAAUGAUUAAUAGGGAUAGUUGGGGGCAUUAGUAUUCAAUUGUCAGAGGUGAAAUUCUUGGAUUUAUUGAAGACUAACUACUGCGAAAGCAUUUGCCAAGGAUGUUUUCAUUAAUCAAGAACGAAAGUUAGGGGAUCGAAGACGAUCAGAUACCGUCGUAGUCUUAACCAUAAACUAUGCCGACUAGGAAUCAGACGAUGUUAAUUUUUUCAAUGACUCGUUUG